rnacentral:rRNA from 1 species
AUGGCUUUGGAGCUGCGGCUGGCGCCGGCGGCGGCGGAGGAGGAGAGGCGCCUGUCCGAGGAGGACGAGCUGCUGUUCCAGGACAUCGCGAGGGAGGUGGGGCGGCUGAGCCUCCGCGAGCCCGAGGUUGAGGCCCAGGGGCGGCGCCAGGGCGACGCGGCCGCGGCGGACGGCCUCCUCCCUCUUCCGGCGGUUCCUGAGCACCCUAGGCAGCAGGGGGGCCUGUACCGGCCUCCCUUAUCCGUGACGAGGGUUCUGUCGCUCGUGGUGCAGGAGGCCGGCCCGGUGCCGCCGCCGUUCUCGCCGCCGCCGACGGGGGUACCCGGCGGCCGUAGGGUGGUCGACGAAUGGCACUUCCCGGGCGAUCAUCUCGGCCGCGGUCGCGCCCCUGCCCACCAGAACUUCCGCGCCGCGGGAUCCGUGCCGCCGCGCGCCGCCUGGCCUGGCGACGCGUACGCCCGCGCAAGGGCGUUUCCUGGGCGCGCCGCCAGCACGCAGCUGGUCGAGGACAUCGUCCUGUUUCUCGCCAAGAACGAGCAAGCGGUGCUCAACAUGCUGUUCUGGGGAGCCCCCGAGGACGCGGACGCCGUGGCGGCGGUGAUAGUCCAGCACGCCGUCCCUCUCAUCGAGAGCAGCCACGGGACGCGCCUGCUCGUUGUCGUCCUCAGCCGCUGCAACUAUAUGCUCCAGGAAGCGAUCGUCGCUAGAAUCACGCGAGACCACAAGAAGUUUUACAAGAUUUGUGCUGCGAGGUCAGGUGAGGUGGUGAGCAUGAUCAAUUCCUGCAUAUCCGAGAGAUCACUGGAGCUUCUGAGAGAUGCAAUCGUGCCAUGGGUGACUCCGUUGAUGAUGGCUCGCCUUGUAACGGAUUCGAGUAGACUCAUGGUGGUGCAUGCCUUGGUGCAGUGUGUUCCUCAUCCAUACUUUGCUGAGUUUAUUUUUGAUGCUGUUGCUACGAACUGCUUAGCACUUGCUAUUCAUCCGCAUGGAGUGUCCCUCCUGCAAAGUUGUCUGGAGCAUGUCGGAUGGACAGAAAAGGAUAAUGUUUUGUCAAAAGUCUCUUGUUGCAGCACCGAUCUUGCUCAAAAUCGUUUUGGAAACUACAUUGUUCAGUAUGUCCUGAAACAAAGAAACCCAUCGUACUUGGCAAUUAUCGCAUCCCGCUUCAGGUCUAAUUAUGUGACACUCUCAAGACAAAGAUAUAGCAGCAAUGUGGUUGAAACGUGCCUAGAAGUUUUUAUUGACAGAGAUCGAUCUAACAUUGUUCAUGAAUUGAUUCGGUAUCAUCCCUUCAGAGAUUUAGUGUCAGAUGAGUUUGCUAAUUAUGUCAUUUCCAGAGCCCUUACAACCUGCAAGGUUCCUCUUCGGGAUCGAUUGGCCACUGCUAUCCUUUCCCUUCAAAAUGUCAAUCGCCGUCACCCUCAUUGUCUGAAGAUGUUCAACACACUUUCUGAGCUUGGCUACAGAUAUUGA